UUACGGCCGUAUCACGUUGAAGCACCAGAUACCGUACGAUCACCGAAGUUAAGCAACGUUGAGCCUGGCCAGUACCUAGAUGGGUGGCCACUUGA